UACAGAGGGUGCAAGCGUUAAUCGGAAUUACUGGGCGUAAAGCGUGCGUAGACGGUUGCGUAAGUCAGAUGUGAAAGCCCCGGGCUCAACCUGGGAAUGGCGAUGGAUACUGGCUCGCUAGAGUGUGAUAGAGGAUGGUGGAAUUCCCGGUGUAGCGGUGAAAUGCGUAGAGAUCGGGAGGAACAUCAGUGGCGAAGGCGGCCAUCUGGAUCAACACUGACGCUGAGGCACGAAAGCGUGGGGAGCAAACAGG
rnacentral:rRNA from 1 species